rnacentral:rRNA from 1 species
GACGAACGCUGGCGGCGUGCUUAACACAUGCAAGUCGAACGGAAAGGCCCUGCUUUUGUGGGGUGCUCGAGUGGCGAACGGGUGAGUAACACGUGAGUAACCUGCCCUUGACUUUGGGAUAACUUCAGGAAACUGGGGCUAAUACCGGAUAGGAGCUCCUGCUGCAUGGUGGGGGUUGGAAAGUUUCGGCGGUUGGGGAUGGACGCGCGGCUUAUCAGCUUGUUGGUGGGGUAGUGGCUUACCAAGGCUUUGACGGGUAGCCGGCCUGAGAGGGUGACCGGCCACAUUGGGACUGAGAUACGGCCCAGACUCCUACGGGGGGCAGCAGUGGGGAAUAUUGCACAAUGGGCGGGAGCCUGAUGCAGCAACGCCGCGUGCGGGAUGACGGCCUUCGGGUUGUGAACCGCUUUCGCCUGUGACGAAGCGUGAGUGACGGUAAUGGGUAAAGAAGCACCGGCUAACUACGUG